UUAAACAUAAGAGCAUGAACUUGUUUUAAAGCAUUCCAUAACAUUAAAUGCAACUAUAAAUUGAUUUUAGUAUACUGUGUUGUACUUCAAUAAAUGAAAAAUGUAAAUGUUGACAAAUUGCUGUUGUGAAAGAGAAAUAAAACACUUCUGGAUUUGUUGUUAUAGGAAAAUAAUUAACAUGUGUUGGAACAGCAAUUCCAUUUCAUCAGUGAGUAUUUUAUUUGGUUUGUUUUGGUGUGUUUUAGUGUGUAUCAGUAUGGAUUAGUGUAUAAUACUGUGUGCUGGUGUGUAUCUUUGUGUGUUGGUGUGUAUAGGUAUGUGUUGUUGUGUGUUGGUGUCUAUAGAUGUUUGUUGUUGGGUGCUGGUGUGUAUAGGUGUGUGUCAGUGUGUAUAGGUGUGUGUUGUGGUGUAAUAUUGUGUGUUAGUGUGUAUGGAUGUGUGUUGAUGUGUGUUGGUGUGUAUAGCUGUGUGUUGGGGUGGAAUACUGUGUGUUAUGGUGUAUGGAUGUGUGUUGAUGUGUGUUGGUGUGUGUUGGGGUGGAAUACUGUGUGUUAGUGUGUAUGGAUGCGUGUUGAUGUGUGUUGGUGUGUAUAGGUGUGUAUUGGGG
ensembl:lncRNA